rnacentral:lncRNA from 1 species
AAGUUUCAACAGCUGCUGCAACCGGCUGCUUGGUUACACAAUGAAAAAUAAUUUCUGAUCUCUGAAUCUCUUUGUCUUUGUUUCUCCACCGCUGUCCAGACCACCUCUAAUAACAUCCAGGCCAUAGCGGGGAGACCUGAAGAGAAAAACAUAAACAAAGGUGUGUUUGUGCUGCAGCUGGGAAACACCUGCUGAGCUGCCUGGAUGACCUUAACAUACCUGCACCUGAUCACUGAGGCUCCAAGUGUAGGACAUGUUCUUGCUGGCGUCCAUGGGGUCGGCUGGUGGAGGGGUGUCUCACAUCUCUGAUACUCAGUGCUCUGUCAGAGUCUGCCAGGGAAGACAAUGUGGUGGAAUACCCCAAGUCCUUGUUCAGCGUCCUGAUAGAGCGAGGGAAUACAACGCAGUCGGAGAGGC